rnacentral:misc_RNA from 1 species
UUGUGGAGGAGGACGCCGAAGGUGGGGCUAAUGACUGGGGUGAAGUCGUAACAAGGUAGCCGUACCGGAAGGUGCGGCUGGAUCACCUCCUAACAGGGAGACAACAAAAUGUUUAUAUUAUUAUUUUGUCACCUUAGGUCGAUCGGUACCUCACAUUCUUAAUUUAUUAAGGAUUUUAUUUCCUAAGUUUUUUCUAGGUCACACCCAUUACUUUUCCUGGGCCAUUAGCUCAGGUGGUUAGAGCGCACCCCUGAUAAGGGUGAGGUCCCUGGUUCAAGUCCAGGAUGGCCCAUAUCUCUAUGUUGGGGGUAUAGCUCAGUUGGUAGAGCGCCUGCUUUGCAAGCAGGAUGUCAGCGGUUCGAGUCCGCUUACCUCCACUGAUUACCACCUCUUCCAUGAUUUUUAUUAAGGAAAUGUUUUGAGUAGUGAUCCAAUACUGAACGAAUCUAGCUUCCUAAUGAAAUCAUUAAGAUGCUGGACUCAUUGAAUUAAUUUCAUUGUUUUCAGAGAACCUUGACAACUGCAUAGAUUAUUUUUAAAGACAAUAAGCAUCUUUAUGAUGCAGAUUUAUUAUUUGUGCGAAUGCAUUAAUAACAAUUCUAUUAAGCUGAUGCUUCAAUUAUGAAGUUAUUGGUCGAGCUACAA